GCUUGUCUCAAAGAUUAAGCCAUGCAUGUCUUAGUGUAAAUAACUCUUAUGAAACUGCGAAUGGCUCAUUAAAUCAGUUAUCGUUUAUUUGAUGGUUCUUGCUACUUGGAUAACCGUAGUAAUUCUAGAGCUAAUACAUGCAUCAAACCUCGACUUCUGGAAGGGGUGUAUUUAUUAGAUGGAAACCAAUGCAGGGCAACCUGGAAUAUGGUGAUUCAUAAUAACUCGCGGAUCGGUUUACCGAUGCAUCAUUCAAGUUUCUGCCCUAUCAGCUUUGGAUGGUAGGGUAUUGGCCUACCAUGGCUUUAACGGGUAACGGAGAAUUAGGGUUCGAUUCCGGAGAGGGAGCCUGAGAAAUGGCUACCACAUCCAAGGAAGGCAGCAGG
rnacentral:rRNA from 1 species